AGAGAGAGACAUGCGCGCAUAUCAAUAAGCGGAGGAAAAGAAACUAACAAGGAUUCCCUUAGUAACGGCGAGUGAAGCGGGAAGAGCUCAAAUUUGAAAUCUUCAAGGUUCUACCUUGACGAAUUGUAGUUUAUAGAAGUGUUUUCUGUUAGUGGAGUGGCAAAAGUUCUUUGGAAUAGGACAUCAUAGAGGGUGAGAAUCCCGUAUUUGGUCAUUCCUCCUAGCGUUGUGAUACACUUUCAACGAGUCGGAUUGUUUGGGAAUGCAGUCCAAAAUGGGUGGUAAAUUUCAUCUAAAGCUAAAUAUUGGCGAGAGACCGAUAGCGAACAAGUACCGUGAGGGAAAGAUGAAAAGAACUUUGAAAAGAGAGUUAAACAGUACGUGAAAUUGUCAAAAGGGAAGCGUUUGACACCAGUGUUGUUUUUCCGAAAAUCAAUUACGAAUGUUUUAUUUUUGAGGAGUUAUGACUUCAUCGGCUUGCUCCUUUCUUUAUGAAACUUUCUUAAUGCACUUUUCGGUUAACUAGUCAACAUCAAUUUCUUUUGUUGUAAAAGGGUAUGAGGAAGGUGGCUUUCUUUUCGGAGAAAGUGUUUAUAGCCUCGUGCCUCUGCAAUCGGAGAGAUUGAGGUCUGCAGCGUAGAUCCUUCGGGGUUAGAUACAGUUUGUGCUAAGUUAUAGCUUUUCAUAGACAACUUGUUGACUAUGUUUAGUCUUGUAGCUUACUCGCUGAUGCUAUUUUACCUACGCUUAGGAUGUUGAUAGUCACAGCGUGUAC
rnacentral:rRNA from 1 species